rnacentral:rRNA from 1 species
GGGAGCUUGCUCCUAUCAAUCUUAGUGGCGAACGGGUGAGUAACGCGUAAUCAACCUGCCCUUCAAUGGGGGACAACAGUUGGAAACGACUGCUAAUACCGCAUACGAUCGUAAUUCGGCAUCGAGAUACGAUGAAAGGUGGCCUCUAUUUAUAAGCUAUCGUUGAAGGAGGGGAUUGCGUCUGAUUAGCUAGUUGGAGGGGUAACGGCCCACCAAGGCAAUGAUCAGUAGCCGGUCUGAGAGGAUGAACGGCCACAUUGGGACUGAGACACGGCCCAAACUCCUACGGGAGGCAGCAGUGGGGAAUCUUCCGCAAUGGACGAAAGUCUGACGGAGCAACGCCGCGUGAGUGAUGAAGGUCUUCGGAUUGUAAAGCUCUGUUAAUCGGGACGAAAGAGCCUAGUGUGAAU